UGAGAGAGUACGCUUACUCAUUUGCAUCUCUUGCAAGUACCCAUCUUAUUUGGCCUCUAGAGAAUGAAGUCUCACAAUGAUAUGAUGUUGGCUCCGUUGCACUUAGUUAAGUCAUUCCCACCAUGCAAGUUCGAGUAGGGGUUCAAGAACAACCUCACAAUGAUAUGAUGUUGAUCAUUCUCGUUGCCUACCUUCACAACAACAUGUAUGCAUAUAGAACUCCUCCUAAGUGUAAGCACGCACUUUGUACUCCCCUAUGAUAGGGUGAAGUCGGUGUACGAGUCACAAACGAUCGGAGCCUACCACGGUGGAAGGCCACGAAAGAGUGUUCAAAGCACUCUCACGCUUAUCAACUUAAUAAUGGUUUGGUUGAGGGUUUUAGGUCUCAUCACAUUUAAGCAUGCAUUUUAAUCUAAUUAAAACAAUUUGGUCCUAUUACAACUAUUGGUCCAUGUGAUCGAUUUAGUACUAUAUAAUACUCCCACUAAGCUUGUAAAACGGUUUAAAGCAAGAGUAUAUGGUACUACUAACAUAAGGUUUGCAUUCAUUGAUAGACUAUAUAGUUGCCUUAGGGCCUUAGGAUGAAUAUGAACCUUUGAUUAGAUCCAACACGAGCCUAGUGUUAAAUCUCGGUCUAGGGAUGGUGAUUGAUUUUAGUUACGCGUUUAAUCAUAUUAAGGCUUGUUUUUCUUAUUGGGCGUUGGACCCAACUACUCCAAUUUCAUGCAUAUCAAAUAAAACAAGAAAAGAGUACUUCAAAGUAAAGAAGAGCUUAUGCUCUUUUACAACAUUUGAUCAAAACAAAUUACUUUAAAGUAAAGAAGAGCUUAUGCUCUUUUAGAACAUUUGAUCAUAUCAAAUUACAACCAAAGUCUAAUCUACACAUUCCCAUGGUUCAAACAAAUUUGAGACGGCCUUUCACAUGGCUCAAUUAUCGUAGGCUUAGGUUCAUAAUCACCCUUUCCUUAACUAAUUAACGCUUUAACUAAUUAAACUUGAAUGCAACAUUUUCAUUUGGUUUUUGUUUCCAUAGAAUUGAUUUAAAUGGAGCUAAAUGAAAUGAAAAUUCAAUUCUCAUUUAAAGAUACAAAACUAUUUUGUUCUCAACUAAUUUGGGCCAAAUACAAUAACCUCAACUUUUUGGGCUAUGUUGCAAAACACAAACUUUUGAGGUCACUUUGUAAGAACACAAAAGUCCACUACUUCAUGUAAUUACAACUAGAACCAAAAAAUUUCAUCAAAUACAAAAACUUCAUUAAAGGAGCAAAACAAUUUGUCCUUUAGUGAUUUUGGGCCUUUACGUAAAAACAUAAACUUUCGGGUCAAAGUACAAACACACAAAAGUAUAUGCAAUUGCAUAAAAGCCCUAAAAGUCCCCUACAUGUAGGGUGGCCGGUCAUGGUAGUGUGAGGGAGUGGUUUUUUGAUAAAAAAAACAAAGUCAUAAAGUCAUGCAAGUUGAAAAGGAUGGGUGAUGGGUUGGUGUGAAAAAGUAGGUGUAGGUGUGUAAGAAAAAAGUACCAAUCAUGUACAAAAAAUUCAAACACUUUAUCAACAUUUCAAUCACCUUUUCAAAUAAAUGACUUGUUGAUAGAAAAGUCACACCAACCAACACAAAACAAAGACUUUAUGUAAUCAACCAAAAACUUUGAAUCAAAAACACCGAACUUUUUGUUCUUGGUAAGAACAUCAAGAACAUUGAAGAACACAUAUGAAAACUCAUAAGAGCUCCAUGAAUGUUUUCACUCAAUAAAAUUCAAAAUUUCACUACUCAAAAGGGGGUUAACAUCCUAGGGUACUUAGGGGUUCCAAAAGUCACCUUAAAAAACUUUUAACAAGACAAACAAGAACCCAAAAUCUACCCUUUGGAUUGGCCGAAUUUCCC
rnacentral:lncRNA from 1 species